GUAGGGAGCAAGCGUUAUCCGGAUUUACUGGGUGUAAAGGGUGCGUAGGCGGAUUGGCAAGUCAGAAGUGAAAUCCAUGGGCUUAACCCAUGAACUGCUUUUGAAACUGUUAGUCUUGAGUGAAGUAGAGGUAGGCGGAAUUCCCGGUGUAGCGGUGAAAUGCGUAGAGAUCGGGAGGAACACCAGUGGCGAAGGCGGCCUACUGGGCUUUAACUGACGCUGAGGCACGAAAGUGUGGGUAGCAAACAGGAUUAGAUACCCUGGUAGUCCACGCCGUAAACGAUGAAUGCCAGCCGUUAGUGGGUUUACUCACUAGUGGCGCAGCUAACGCUUUAAGCAUUCCGCCUGGGGAGU
rnacentral:rRNA from 1 species